AGGGCUAGUCCAGUCCCGACCAACUGUCGGAAUUCACUCGCCUAAAGGUUAUGGCAAAACCUUAGAGUAUCAAGGAAACUCUUAAGAACCUCUCUAAGCAUUAAGGCUACUUCGCUUAGGAACCAGUCUUUUACGGGUAGACUCACACCUUAGUGUAUCAAGGGCACUCUUAAGAACCUCUAACUUUUGCAGGUAAGUUAGUACCUUAGAGUAUCAAGGAACUCUUAUAAACCUCUCUAAGUUUUAAGGCUACUUCGCUUAGGAACCAUUCUUUUACGGGUAGAUUCACACCUUAGAGUAUCAAGGGCACUUUUAAGAACCUCUAACUUUUACGGGUAAGUUAGUACCUUAGAGCAUCAAGGAACUCUUAAAAACCUCUCUAAGCUUUAAAGCUACUUCGCUUAGGAACCAGUCUUUUACGAGCAGACUCACACCUUAGAGUAUCAAGGACACUCUUAAGAACCUCUAACUUUUACGGGUAAGUUAGUACCUUAGAGUAUCAAGGAACUCUUAAAAACCUCUGAAAUCUUUCAAGGUAGACUCGACCUAAGAGUUUUCCCGGAAACUCUAUAAAAUCAAACUAGAGCUUUAUGGUUGAGCUCAAAAACCUUCUCUCACACUUUGGUACUAUUGAGACAACCCUCUCAACCAAAGUGGACACACACAAGAGGUGAUUAGAGGAGUAGAAUAUUAAAGCAAACAACACUUCUUACUUGUAAAGAUGAACAAGAAGAUUAGAAGAAGAAGUUGGAGAGCUUUUGAAGCUUUGGAAAGCUAGGACACUUGAGCACUUGAAAGCUUGGAAGCUUGGAGGUAAAAACGUGUGGGCAAGUGUGGAGUGAAAGCUCUUGAGUUUGCUU
rnacentral:lncRNA from 1 species